CACGUAGGGGGCGAGCGUUGUCCGGAUUUAUUGGGCGUAAAGAGCUCGUAGGCGGUUUCGUAAGUCGGAUGUGAAAACUCCAGGCUCAACUUGGAGACGCCAUUCGAUACUGGAUGGCUUGAGUUUGGGAGAGGGAUGCGGAAUUCCAGGUGUAGCGGUGAAAUGCGUAGAUAUCUGGAGGAACACCGGUGGCGAAGGCGGCAUCCUGGACCAACACUGACGCUGAGUGAGCGAAAGCCAGGGGAGCAAACGGG
rnacentral:rRNA from 1 species